GGAGGAAGUAAAAAGGCGAGUUGGAUCUCCUGAAAACCUUUCAUCGACUAUGGUCUGUCAGUUGUUAAAGAGGAGCAGAUCAGUGGCAAAUAUUCCACCAGGAAUUGUUAUAAGAAAGAACAUCAAGACUUCUAUAAGCUUAUUUUCAGGCCUUACAGAAGGAGAGGCAAAAGACUUGGCUGAUGAUUUCAGCAACAUUGUUGAAAAGAGCGAAAUCUUUUCAAGGCUUAGUAAAAUUUGCUCAUCAAGAAAAGAAGCUAAUGAAGUUCGAGAUGUUCUACUUAAAGCUGUUGACGUAUUAGAAAAUAUUGGAGACCUAGAAGAGGGAAGCAGACUUACUCAUGGUUUUAUGAAACCAGCUUUAACUUUUGUUGUUAAAGAGUUGGCAAAACACAUAGAUUAAUUUUUAUACGACCGCAAAAGUAAUUUUUUUGGGUCGUAUAUUGGUAUCACGUCGUCGUCGUCGUCGUCAGCGCCGUGCGAAGACAGAUGGUUUCCGGAUAAUAACUUUUAUAUAAGUAAAUAGAAAUCAAUAUAAUUUUAACACAAUGUUUAUAACCACAAAAGGAAGGUUGGGAUUGAUUUUGGGGUUAUGGUCCCAAAGGUUUAGGAAUAAGGGGCCCAAAGGGGCCCAAAACAAGCAUUUAUCUAAUUUUAGGACAAUAACUUGUGUAUAAGUAAUUCAAUUGCUCUGAAAUUGUACCACAAUGUUUAAUACCAUAAGUAGAAGGUUGGGAUUUAAUUUAAGGGUUAUGGAGCAAAUAGUCUAGGAAUUAAGGGCCAAAAAGGGCCCAAAAACAUGCAUUUUUCUAGUUUCCGCACAAUAACUUGUGUGUAACUGUAUGGACCUCUCUGACAUUUUACUACAAGGUUCAAUAUAACAAAGGAAAGCCUGGGAUUGAGUUUGGGGUUAAUUUCCCCGAACAUGUAGGAAUGAGGGGCCAAAAAAGGGCCAAAAAGAAGCAUUUUUCUAGUUUACAGACAAUAACUUGUGUUUAAGUGUAUGGAUCUCUCUAAAAUUAUACUACAAGGUUUCUUUCUACAAAGGAAAGGCUGGAAUUGAAUUUUGGGGUUCUUGCUCCAAGGGGGGUUUCAAAAAGUUGGGGCCAAAAAGGGGCCCAAAUAAGCAUUUUUGUAGUUUCCAGUCAAUAACUUGUGUUUAAGUGAAUAAAUCUCUCUGAAAUUGUACGACAAGUUUCCAUACUACCAAGGAAUGGUUAUGGGGGGUUAUGCUUAAAAUCAUUUAGCAAUUAGGGGCAAAAAGAAGGAAAAACAAGGGUUUUUCUGGUUAAAGGACAAUUUAGACAAUUUAAAAGCAGUGUAAGGGAGGUAAUCCAAUUCCAUUUAAAGAAUACUGUUAUAUAUAUGUUUGAUUACACUGCUUGCAAAUUAUGUAUUAAGGAAUGAUAUUGUCUUGAGAUGAUUAGCUGUAAUCUUUUUUUAGAAGUUACUAUUAAUUAAUAUUAAUUUUAACCAUGACUGUAUGUCAUUUUAUAUUUCAAUAUGUUAUGAUAUAUUUAAAUGAGUAGUUAUUGUUGCAAACUCCAUUAGAAAUUUGAAUGGAGAUUAUUUUUGGAACAAGGGAA